rnacentral:rRNA from 1 species
UGGGAGCGUACACAGGUGCUGCAUGGCUGUCGUCAGCUCGUGUCGUGAGAUGUUGGGUUAAGUCCCGCAACGAGCGCCAACCCCUGCAUCCAGUUGCCAUCGGGCGAGCCGGGCACUCUGGAGGGACUGCCGGCCGACAAGCCGGAGGAAGGGUGGGGAGUGACGUCAAGUCAUCAUGGCCCUUAUGUCCAGGGCGACACACGUGCUACAAUGGCCGGCACAGCGGGAAGCGGAGGGGCGACCCUGAGCGGAUCCCUUGAAAGCCGGUCCCAGUUCGGAUUGCAGUCUGCAACUCGACUGCAUGAAGUUGGAAUCGCUAGUAAUCGCGGAUCAGCCAAGCCGCGGUGAAUACGUUCCCGGGCCUU